GUGGGGAAUUUUGGACAAUGGGCGCAAGCCUGAUCCAGCAAUGCCGCGUGCAGGAAGAAGGCCUUCGGGUUGUAAACUGCUUUUGUACGGAACGAAACGGUCCGGGUUAAUACCCUGGGCUAAUGACGGUACCGUAAGAAUAAGCACCGGCUAACUACGUGCCAGCAGCCGCGGUAAUACGUAGGGUUCAAGCGUUAAUCGGAAUUACUGGGCGUAAAGCGUGCGCAGGCGGUUUGGUAAGCCAGGUGUGAAAUCCCCGGGCGCAACCUGGGAAUUGCGCUUGUGACUGCAAGGCUGGAGUGCGGCAGAGGGGGAUGGAAUUCCGCGUGUAGCAGUGAAAUGCGUAGAUAUGCGGAGGAACACCGAUGGCGAAGGCAAUCCCCUGGGCCUGCACUGACGCUCAUGCACGAAAGCGUGGGGAGCAAACAGGAUUAGAAACCCUUGUAGUCC
rnacentral:rRNA from 1 species